rnacentral:pre_miRNA from 3 species
AGUGGGAUUGCUGGGUCAUAUGGUAAUUCUGUAUUUAACUUUUUAGGAAACUGCCAAACUCUUUUCCAAAGUGAAUGCUCCAUUUUACAUUCCCACCAGCAAC